GCACUAGUAGCUCAGCGUUAGAGCACCAGUCUUGUAAACUUGAUGUCGGGAGUUAAAAUCUCCCCUACUGCU
rnacentral:tRNA from 1 species